UGUCGAUCCCUGGAGACGUGCACGAGGGAAGCCUGGGGGGUGCUCACCGUGGAGGGCGCAGGAGCAAGAAGGAGCAGGUCACUCGACGUACAGGAAUGUGCACUGACCUCGAAAUCACGGAGCGAACGAGAGAAGUGGGCAUCCAAACAGAGGGGAAAAAACAUCAAAUCCAUGUAUCAUCUUCAUCUCUUGUACAGCCCUGAUUGGACCCUGAACUAGAUUCUUCUGAGACCAGGGCAGACCCCACGACCUCUGUGUCCUGUCUGCGAAUAAGCGAAUGAGUUGAAGAGGGGCACGCAGAAAAAGAACGAGGGAGGAAGGGAUGAAGAGGGCUCUCCCAGAACAUUCUCUUCCUCUCUCCACCCCUACCCCAGGGUGUGAGUCCUGGGCGGGCGGGGGAUCGGCAAAGGGUAGGAACUGGAGAAAACCCUGGGGGGUUUGCUCCCCAGGCAGGAGGCAGCAGCCUAGCACAGGCCCCCCAGCCACAGGCUAGCAGUGCUGGGGAGCCCAGAUCCUGCACCACGUGAGCCCCCACUCCAGGAGGGACACCGGGUGGGGCUGGCCCUGUACUAAUAUCAAUAAAGA